rnacentral:misc_RNA from 1 species
UUGAGUUUAGAAGUGCUAUUUGAACUGUUUUGCAGGUUGGGUAAGUCUCAAGUAUAGGGAAAACUCUGCCAGAUUUUCGGCAUGAAUUAGACUGUCUAUUGUCUCUUUAGAGUCUUAUUCUGAAUUAAUGCUAAUAAAUCCAUAAUAUAAUUAUCUAGGUAAACUCGAACACGAAAUUGCUCAUUUUCGGCUAAUACUGAUUUAAAAUAAAAUUUAUAAAUUAUUCGUGGAUGAUCAGAAAAUUAUGAUUCUUUUUUUGCAAUAGCCUCAUAAUAUUGUUAAAGACUGCGGAACAAGUUUAUAGAAUUUUUAAAGUCAAUUUGGAUAGUUUUUGAGAAAUGUUAGUUUUAAAAUAUUGUAAUUGAGUUGUCUGAUGUUGUGA